rnacentral:tRNA from 1 species
CUAGUGUAGCUUAACCAAAGCAUAACACU